CAGCAGUCGCCACGGUAAUACGUAGGUGGCAAGCGUCGUCUGGAAUUAUUGGGCGUAAAGCGAGCGCAGGCGGUUAGAUAAGUCUGAAGUUAAAGGCUGUGGCUUAACCAUAGUACGCUUUGGAAACUGUUUAACUUGAGUGCAAGAGGGGAGAGUGGGAUUCCAUGUGUAGCGGUGAAAUGCGUAGAUAUAUGGAGGAACACCGGUGGCGAAAGCGGCUCUCUGGCUUGUAACUGACGCUGAGGCUCGAAAGCGUGGGGAGCAAACAGGAUUAGAUACCCCCGUAGUCCCUGUCUCUUAUACA
rnacentral:rRNA from 1 species